rnacentral:rRNA from 1 species
UUGGGCGUAAAGGGCUCGCAGGCGGUUCCUUAAGUCUGAUGUGAAAGCCCCCGGCUCAACCGGGGAGGGUCAUUGGAAACUGGGGAACUUGAGUGCAGAAGAGGAGAGUGGAAUUCCACGUGUAGCGGUGAAAUGCGUAGAGAUGUGGAGGAACACCAGUGGCGAAGGCGACUCUCUGGUCUGUAACUGACGCUGAGGAGCGAAAGCGUGGGGAGCGAACAGGAUUAGAUACCCUGGUAGUCCACGCCGUAAACGAUGAGUGCUAAGUGUUAGGGGGUUUCCGCCCCUUAGUGCUGCAGCUAACGCAUUAAGCACUCCGCCUGGGGAGUACGGUCGCAAGACUGAAACUCAAAGGAAUUGACGGGGGCCCGCACAAGCGGUGGAGCAUGUGGUUUAAUUCGAAGCAACGCGAAGAACCUUACCAGGUCUUGACAUCCUCUGACAAUCCUAGAGAUAGGACGUCCCCUUCGGGGGCAGAGUGACAGGUGGUGCAUGGUUGUCGUCAGCUCGCGUCGUGAGAUGUUGGGUUAAGUCCCGCAACGAGCGCAACCCUUGAUCUUAGUUGCCAGCAUUCAGUUGGGCACUCUAAGGUGACUGCCGGUGACAAACUCGGAGGAAGGUGGGGAUGACGUCAAAUCAUCAUGCCCCUUAUGACCUGGGCUACACACGUGCUACAAUGGACAGAACAAAGGGCAGCGAAACCGCGAGGUGAAGCCAAUCCCACAAAUCUGUUCUCAGUUCGGAUCGCAGUCUGCAACUCGACUGCGUGAAGCUGGAAUCG